GUUAUCAGCAAGGAGACGCUGGGGAGAUGAAAGCAGUCUCAAUCAACAAACUAUGUUGAUUGAUUAACUGCCGUGCAGGCCAAAAGGGCCGCGGUGUCCCGCUGGUCUGUAUGAAAUGAGUGCACUUGUUUAAAAUGACAUUCCGUCACUGGUGUUCAAGCAGCAGCGGAGAGUGCGUGAGAAAGAAAGGGACUCCGGACUGGUCUACCCUCCCCCUGCUUCUGCCGCCGUUACAUGUACCGCAAUAAUAAAAGCCUCCUUUUAUUUGAA